rnacentral:rRNA from 1 species
UACGUAGGCAGCGAGCGUUGUUCGGAGUUACUGGGCGUAAAGCGUGCGUAGGCGGCGUCUUAAGUCUGCUGUGAAAUCUCCCGGCUUAACCGGGAGGGUGCGGCGAAUACUGAGAUGCUGGAGUGCCGGAGAGGUAAGCGGAAUUCCUGGUGUAGCGGUGAAAUGCGUAGAUAUCAGGAGGAACGCCAAUAGCGAAGGCAGCUCGCUGGGACGUUACUGACACUGAGGCGCGAAAGCGUGGGGAGCGAACAGG